CAGUCGAACGAGCGAGAGAGAGCUUACUUUCUCAAGCGAGUGGCGAACGGGUGACUAUCGCGUGAGGAACCUGCCUCAAAGAGGGGGACAACAGUUGGAAACGACUGCUAAUACCGCAUAAGCCCACGACCCGGCAUCGGGUAGAGGGAAAAGGAGCAAUCCGCUUUGAGAUGGCCUCGCGUCCGAUUAGCUAGUUGGUGAGGUAACGGCCCACCAAGGCGACGAUCGGUAGCCGGACUGAGAGGUUGAACGGCCACAUUGGGACUGAGACACGGCCCAGACUCCUACGGGAGGCAGCAGUGGGGAAUAUUGCACAAUGGGGGAAACCCUGAUGCAGCGACGCCGCGUGGAGGAAGAAGGUCUUCGGAUUGUAAACUCCUGUUGUUGAGGAAGAUAAUGACGGUACUCAACAAGGAAGUGACGGCUAACUACGUGCCAGCAGCCGCGGUAAAACGUAGGUCACAAGCGUUGUCCGGAAUUACUGGGUGUAAAGGGAGCGCAGGCGGGAAGACAAGUUGGAAGUGAAAUCCAUGGGCUCAACCCAUGAACUGCUUUCAAAACUGUUUUUCUUGAGUAGUGCAGAGGUAGGCGGAAUUCCCGGUGUAGCGGUGGAAUGCGUAGAUAUCGGGAGGAACACCAGUGGCGAAGGCGGCCUACUGGGCACCAACUGACGCUGAGGCUCGAAAGUGUGGGUAGCAAACAGGAUUAGAUACCCUGGUAGUCCACACUGUAGACGAUGAUUACUAGGUGUUGGAGGAUUGACCCCUUCAGUGCCGCAGUUAACA
rnacentral:rRNA from 1 species